rnacentral:misc_RNA from 1 species
UGCGAGUGUCGAAUGGGAUUGUAGAAACGUCCGCGUUUCACGCAUCCAAACUCGAAACCGACGUUGCCAGUCCUGAAUGCUUUCAGUCGAUGCGUCAGGCCUCGGAGCGUGACGACAAUUGCGUUCCCUCUAGAAGUUGCUUCGCGGCUUGUGGCCUCCAGUGGCGAGUCGGUUUCACACGAAACGAUUUCCAUUGGUGGACGCCAGAGCGCAUUGCAACAGUCAAAGCGAACCACGCAGCAGGAAUGACAAAACCCGCCACUAGAACAAAAAGUGCCUGUCUGCCGGCCGGCAGCGCUUCGAACCAAUCGAGAAACCGAGAAACGUGGCUCAUUGCCAAAAGGCUGGCGCAUGUGA